rnacentral:rRNA from 1 species
UUUUAUUUGAGAGUUUGAUCCUGGCUCAGGAUGAACGCUGGCGGCGUGCCUAACACAUGCAAGUUGAGCGAUUUACUUCGGUAAAGAGCGGCGGACGGGUGAGUAACGCGUGGGUAACCUACCCUGUACACACGGAUAACAUACUGAAAGGUAUGCUAAUACGGGAUAAUAUAUUUGAGAGGCAUCUCUUGAAUAUCAAAGGUGAGCCAGUACAGGAUGGACCCGCGUCUGAUUAGCUAGUUGGUAAGGUAACGGCUUACCAAGGCGACGAUCAGUAGCCGACCUGAGAGGGUGAUCGGCCACAUUGGAACUGAGACACGGUCCAAACUCCUACGGGAGGCAGCAGUGGGGAAUAUUGCACAAUGGGCGAAAGCCUGAUGCAGCAACGCCGCGUGAGUGAUGAAGGCCUUCGGGUCGUAAAACUCUGUCCUCAAGGAAGAUAAUGACGGUACUUGAGGAGGAAGCCCCGGCUAACUACGUGCCAGCAGCCGCGGUAAUACGUAGGGGGCUAGCGUUAUCCG